rnacentral:rRNA from 1 species
GUUUGAUCCUGGCUCAGGACGAACGCUCCUUUCGUGCCUAAUACAUGCAAGUCGAGCGAGCUUGCCUAGAUGAUUUUAGUGCUUGCACUAAAUGAAACUAGAUACAAGCGAGCGGCGGACGGGUGAGUAACACGUGGGUAACCUGCCCAAGAGACUGGGAUAACACCUGGAAACAGAUGCUAAUACCGGAUAACAACACUAGACGCAUGUCUAGAGUUUGAAAGAUGGUUCUGCUAUCACUCUUGGAUGGACCUGCGGUGCAUUAGCUAGUUGGUAAGGUAACGGCUUACCAAGGCAAUGAUGCAUAGCCGAGUUGAGAGACUGAUCGGCCACAUUGGGACUGAGACACGGCCCAAACUCCUACGGGAGGCAGCAGUAGGGAAUCUUCCACAAUGGACGAAAGUCUGAUGGAGCAACGCCGCGUGAGUGAAGAAGGGUUUCGGCUCGUAAAGCUCUGUUGGUAGUGAAGAAAGAUAGAGGUAGUAACUGGCCUUUAUUUGACGGUAAUUACUUAGAAAGUCACGGCUAACUACGUGCCAGCAGCCGCGGUAAUACGUAGGUGGCAAGCGUUGUCCGGAUUUAUUGGGCGUAAAGCGAGUGCAGGCGGUUCAAUAAGUCUGAUGUGAAAGCCUUCGGCUCAACCGGAGAAUUGCAUCAGAAACUGUUGAACUUGAGUGCAGAAGAGGAGAGUGGAACUCCAUGUGUAGCGGUGGAAUGCGUAGAUAUAUGGAAGAACACCAGUGGCGAAGGCGGCUGUCUGGUCUGCAACUGACGCUGAGGCUCGAAAGCAUGGGUAGCGAACAGGAUUAGAUACCCUGGUAGUCCAUGCCGUAAACGAUGAGUGCUAGGUG